CUCAUUUUCAAGGCGCUUCUAAGGUACCCUUGUGUCCACUUGCAAGCUCUUGCAUCCAAGAAGAUGGCUGUUUGGGGGAUCCUCAUGGUCAUCAUGCUCAGCCUGGCCUGUCAGCUCUGGCUGCCCUGCUGGUCCCUCACUGGUCUCCUGAGGUCUGAGGAUACAACUCAUGUUUUGAAGCUAUGAAAGGAUUGUAGAGCCUUGUCCUGUAGGGAAUUUCAAAACAGAAAGGACUGAUAAUGUGGCUCAGUGGCAGAACCUGUGGGGGCUCAGGAAAGUAGACUUGGAUCUUGACUGCAUUUGGGAGCCUGUCCUGGAUCAUCCAGUCAUCACUGAGCUGUAUGGAGGAGGGGACAGCAGUGACUCCUGGCUCUGGGUGUGCAGAAAUGGGUAAUGGUCAUUUGUGGACUUGUCCUGCCUGGGCAUCAAAGAUUCUAACACCCCUGACCUUCAGGAGGUCAUCUUCUCAACCCUGUCAA